UCCCUAGUGGUCCAGUGGCUAAGACUCUGUGCUCCCAAUGCAGGGACCAGGGUUCGAUCCCUGGUCAGGGAA
rnacentral:tRNA from 1 species